rnacentral:lncRNA from 1 species
UCGUCUCAUCAUCCUGGGCUUUGCCUGCAUAUCAUGCAUUCAUGGGAGAAGCAUUAGCUUGAACAAGCUAAGCUAGGAUGCAAGCAGCCAUGGCAAAAUAAUAGUAGCUUGAAAUCAAAUCAGCACCAGCCGAAGCGAAGCUGGAUGAAUCUCGGCUGACCCUUCAGUUGUUCUGUUCAGGCCUGGUAUUAUCAACUCAUCUCUCUCGAUUUCUUUCCUAGUUUCCUACUUCUAGAGUUCCUCUCUAGUAUAGUAGUAUCUGAUAAUUUCUCGAUUUAGUUGUAUUCUCAUUUUUUCACAAGAAUAAAAGUACUAUUACAGAUUAUAAGUUUUCAACGACCGUUGGAAAGUUUUCACAAAACAGGGUGUCUUACUAAAUACUUACACAAAUGUCCUGCCAGCAUAGAUUGGAUCUUAACUGUAAAUUCAAUUACAGGUUACCAUCUAUAAUCUAGCUGCUCCCUUCAGUAUUUCAGUAACUAGAAAAUUAGGAUUUGAAUAUUUAAAGCCAACAGGAUCCCAUUUUACUCCUACAUAUUUGUCAUAAGUAGUGGGCCGAUGGGUCGAGGCCCUAGGGAUAAGGAUAGCUAGAGUCGGUUCGAUAAGAUUAGAUUGGGUCCUCCCUCCAUCUAUAUAAGGAUAGAUUGUACCGUUAUUCUAAUUAAGCAAUGAAUCAAGAUUAGUCUCUCCCAACCUAAGUCCCCCUCUCAUCCCUAGCAGCCGUCGCCGCCCGGCUAUCCUCCCGAUGGUGUUUACCCCCUAUGAAUCCUAACCCAUAACAUCUUAUUGUCCAUUUUACUUGUACUGUUUUCAUAAAUCAAAACUGUGCAUGCUAGAGGGUACCAGAAUGGCCAUGCACAUCCAUUUCGGAUGUAGAGGCUGGUUUAAUCCAUUUUCUGAAAGAAAAAAAAAGGCAACACCAGAAGUCAUCAGCUUGUCUAUCAACUGCAGGUGGGAUCCACUCAUUAGAAUAAGAAAACAUUUCUGGUUCACCUUGAAAAUCUGUGGCUUAGUGAUAAAUUCAAGAAAAAAGCCUCUAGUUUUGUCACACUUUAAACUGUUGUAAGCUAAUUUUACCAACAUAUCUUUAGUUUUGUGAGAUUUACUCACACCCCUAACCACAGCUCACUACUAAGAUGCAUUACAAAAAUGAUCAAAUAUACAGGUGAAACAAAUCCAAUAUGGUAAUGGGACACAAAUUAAGGUAUACUACAACAGGAAAUAAAUGAGUUGCUCUUGUACAAGCUAUGUUAACAACUUAUUUCUGUGGUGAAAGGUGAUCAGCAUUUCAUUCAAAGAAAGAUCUUUAAUUAUUCACAUCACAAAAUGGAAGAUAAACUAGGUCUUCCAGAAAAUAAGCUUAGAGAUUUUAUCCAAGGAGCUGACAAGGCAAAAUGGAUAGCUAAGAAUAAUCAUAACAUAAAGUAUUUUACAGAAGAUGAGAUCAAAAGAACUACCAGCAACUACAGCACUAGCCUUGGAAAUGGUUCAUUCGGAAAAGUUUACAACGGAAUCAUUGAUGAUAACACUGCAGUUGCGGUGAAAAGAUAUUCCCGCAUAGAUUCAGAAGAAGAGUUUGCCAAAGAAGUAAUUGUCCACAGCCAAGUCAACCAUAAGAAUGUAGUUAGGCUAAUUGGAUGUUGUACAGAGAAAAAUGCUCCAAUUAUGGUCUUUGAGUAUGUCUCUAAUGGAACCCUUUGCGAGAACCCACAUGGCAGUAAUGUUCCCGUCUAUUUGGACAAAAGGUUGAGUAUAGCCAUACAAUGUGCGGAAGCGCUAGAGAUAGUUUUACAUAUACUUCCAACGUAAACAAUGAUAACAAAUUCGAGAAAAUAUUAAAUGGUAAGGUUACAAUGCAUCUACCAAUCCUACCAAACUUUAUAGCAAAAUACAACUUAUAUAAAGUAAAAAAAAUAAUGCUAAUAGCUCAGGUGUAAAAUGAGUCGAAAAUUUAUUUAGGAGACAAAGGCCAAAUCUUUUAGGGGAGCAAAAUGAACUUUUUUUUCCUUAAAUGAAUUAUAAUCCCUCAGUCAUUAAUAGACAACGUUUUUCGAUGCUAAAACUACACUUAAACUAGUGUUAAAACUAUCAUAUAUUAAUGAAUGGAGGAAGUAAUUUCACGUUAAUUAAUAGUGCUAAUUAGAUCUAUGCCAUUGCAACUUUGCCAAAUUGAAAAAAUAUCACUACUAUUCGAUAUAUAUGCUACAUGCCACUAAAAUUUUCUAAAAUUAGAACCAUGCCACUCCAGUCAUAUUUUCCGUCCUUCUCGCUCACGCCGUCUCUAUUCCCGUCCUCAUCCCCUAUCCACGGCUACACGCGGCUCCGCCGCCGCAGCAGUAGCAACAGCGGGUCCAGCCCGCCGCCUAUGGAUGCCUUCUGUCGUUGAUGCGCUUGACAUCGGCGAAGUCAGCCUACCGCGCGAGGCCGACGUCAUCGCACCAGCCGUAGAAGGCGAGGAGGUCGUCGAUUUGCUUGGCGGUGCUCCAUGUCGAAGAAGCGGUCAAGGAGGACGGCGAGCACGACGGCGACAUCAGAGGAGAGCUGCGUGCUCUCCUUGACCAUGGGGUAGAGCGCGGGUCGCCGUUGGCGACGAGGCGGUGGACGAGCGCGAGGCCACGCGCGACUCUGCCGCCUCUGCCGGCCCCACGCGCCUCCACCAGCCCCGCCCGCCCCCGCGUGGCCCCGCCGCCCCCACCGGCCAUGCGCGCAUCCGCCGCCUCCAUGGCUCCACGCGCCUCCGCGCACCUCAGCCACCUCAGCCGGCCCGGCGCGGCUCCGCCGCCUCCGCGGCUCCUAUCCCCGACAAGCGCCGCGCGCGCAUCCUCAGCCCUGCUCCGCGGGUGCCCUAGCUUCCGCGUGCGUGUGCUAGGACAGGACCUGAAAUGGCGUGAGAGAGGAGAUGAAAAAGCGACGGGAGUGGCAUGGUUCCAAUUUUAGAAAUUUCCAGUGUCAUAUAGUUGAUAUAAUGAAUAGUGGUGGUAUUUUUUUUAAUUUAGCAAAGUUGCAAUGGCAUAUAUCCAAUUAACCCUUUAAUAUGUAUACAUUUCCAUUUGGUGGCAGCAAAACAAAUUAUUCUCCCGUAUGAUUUUCCAAUUCCGCACGUUUUCUCCUCCUCCCGUAUUAUUUGAGAAUUAUUUGAGACACAUAAAAGCACAUGAAUUUUAUGAGAAAUUGUUCAUUUCUCACGGUGAACAUAGAAAAUUAGACAUCGCCCUGUAAAAGCAGAACAAACAGAUUAUAAGGAAUUCCAAUGUAUAGGCUAUAGCAGAUAAAAAAGCUCAAAACCUCAAUGUUUCUGGGUACACAUGAACGUUUUUCACAACAUACCCGCAAGUACUGGACCUCCCUCUACCACGACGUAACAAAACCAGGGAAAUCCAAGAUCCAACAUGUACAGCAAUGUACAAAGUAUUUUACUACUUCUAACAGGCUCAGCUCUUUCUCUACUUCUUCCUUUGACUACGCAAUAUGGUGGUUCAAUCGAUAGUUACAGAGAACCACAAUAAGAAGAUGGCUAUACCAAUCGUAUAUUCCUAUGUAUGCUAUGAUCGAUUCAUCUGACUACAAAUCCGGUCCAGAGCUAACAAAGGAGCUCGAAGGAAACAGAACCACCUGACGACAUUUACACGUCAUCAUCUGCCUCGUCUUGCUCGUCUCCCUCCUCUUCCUCCUCUUGCUGAGCAAACAAAGCAACAGCAUCACUCCACCAGUAUUCAGAUGCAUGGGCCAAUGUGGAAAUAAAUGAAUUUACACAGACAGGUAUAGAGAAAAUUUAGAUGAACCCUUGAAACAAACAGUCAAAGAGAAAUAUAACAUCGUUAAUGUGGUUUUGGGAGUGUGUUGAAACAAUUAACUGUAAAAGAUCAAUGCACGGAAUUCAGUUGUUUCUUGAAUUAUAUAUAUAAAAAAAAGGUAAGCUCUUGACUCUUCGCUCCUAUCAAGUGCAAAAUAGGUGUGCUUCAAAGAGUUCAAACACACUGUUCUCUUGGAGGGGUUGGGAACCCCUCCCCUCCGCACGAAAAACGGAGCAAUAGAUUAACAUGUGAUUAAUUAAGUAUUAGCUAUAAAAAACUUGAAGAAUGGAAUUAAUAUGACUUUUUAAAACAACUUUCCUAUAUAAAUUUUUCGCAAAACGCAUACCAUUUAGCAGUUUGAAAAGUGUACACGCGGAAAACGAGGGAGAUGAGUUGGGAACACAGCCAAGCUAGCGAAGCAAUACUUGAUGGGAUAUUUGAGAGGUGAGAGAUGUGUAAGUGGGUCAAAAUUGCAGGUCUGCAUCAUAUACCUUUUUAACUUUAAGAUGAACAUAAUAGCAAACCAUAUGUUAACAAGCAGAAACUGUCAUACAAAAAGCAUACCUCCUGUAUUUGCAUUGCUGCCACCCUUGCCAGCAUAUCUGUACGCAAUUUGUUUUUAGAAAUAAACGUUCAUUAGUAAAUCAAUAUAAUUGAGACUGGUGUAAGGAUUGUGGAGAGUAUGGGACAAUCAUGGCUGCUGAGAAAACGUCAAGCUUCAUGUCUCACCAAAUUGAUGAUAUCUUCCACUUCAAACUGAAAGCAUAUCUCUCCAGUCCUUUGCGGAUCUGCACCACAUCACAGCACAUUUGAGAGACUAAUAGAUCAUACGACGAGAAUAUCAACAAAUAUAUAGAGCCAUCCCAACCAAAAAUAGAUCUCCUUUCAAUUCUUCUGAGAAACAAGUAUCAAUUCACAAAACAUACUAGUGACUCAGUUUGAAUGCAGUGCAAGAGCAAUGGAUGGAUAUGGGUCUGCACAAACAUAGUUUACUCAUUGUCGAUAAUGGAAUUCAGCCUUACCUAAGUUGGAUAAACAAUGCACAAAGAUAUCAUCAGCAUAUAUAGUUUGUAAUAUGGCAUGUUUUUAUGAUUUUAUUUUGGAUCCCUCUAUCUGCUAAUUGUGAAGAACAAGUUUGCUUAUGUUUUUCAUUCAGAUUACUCUAGCUGGUCACAAUUUUUGACAUCAUAUAACAGUACCUUACCAGUUGGAACAGGUAUUCUUCUGUUGAAAAUAAACCUUCUGAUGUGGAUAGCAAAAAAAUAUGAUCAAUUAUACAACUAAAUAAAAUAAUCUUAGGUUGUAAAAAGUACACAAUUGAUGAAACUCACAUUGUUUAAUGCCAGUAUUAUUAACAAAGAAAUGACUUAAAAAAACCAGAAGCGCAACCUGCCAACCUCCAUAUGGCAAAAACAAUGGACACAUGUUAACAAUAUGUAGUUAAUCUUCUCGCUUAACCUAAUUCCAACUCCUGCCCAGAUGAGGAAUUGCCUGAUAUUUCAGCAUGUGCUGCAUUUGCAGACCUUGCAAGAGCUUCUCGUAUCAUACGGAACCCUUCUUCCUGAAUGACAUAAAUAACUAGCUUGUCUGAUAACAUUGUAAUGUUCCAUAGAAGAUAAAACAAAAUUGGAACCCCCCCCCCCCCCCAACAACAACACCCCAAUAAAAGUUGCUGCGACGGAAAUGGAAAACUUCAAACAUCAUCAAUUGAACAUGAAUGUAAAACACAAAAGGUCCCAAAUAAAACGCAAGGAACCCAGAAAAGUAAUCCUGACUUAUAUUGUAGCUACAUUUUGCAUAUGCUGAUAACCAUAGGAUAUAUAUUUCAAAUCUUAAAUCAUUGAUAAUAGCAUCUAUAAUUAUCUCACCAAUUAUAUUGUUAAUGUUAUCCUGCCAGUAAAAUAGCACCAAAGAAAUCAAAUGAUGAUGAUUAAUAAUCAUGACCAUUUCAAUCUUUUUUCAGGGCAAUUUGCAUCUUUAGAAGGUAAGCACAACAAAUGAGGAAGUGGCUCAAGAUUCUAGCAACACAUUCAAGGCGCUUCAAAAGAAAAUAAGGUUCCCAAAUAAGAAAAAGGGAAUAUUUAAAAUUCUAAACAGAUCCAAGAUUAGAAGUCUAAAUGUAGUUCCUGUUUAUUCAUAUUCAUAUAAUCAGAUUACUGUUUACUAAAAACUGAUUUGGAAACAGAUUGUUGCUAGAGUUAUGUUUUUUUUUUCUGGAGAAUACUACACGGGACAGAACAAGCACUUCCCAAGGGCAGUUAAGUUCAUAGGGUGUUGCUAUACGCACUAGCACACAUGGGUGCACAGUGAUUUUUGAUGUUUUGAGGGAUGAGUGCUCCGAGGCAAUAAACUGAUAGACAUCACCGCAAAUACAAAUAUAUGCUUGAUGGAAUUCUGCAGCCAUAGAGUUCAUGGUUUGAUAGUAGUUGGACUUGUGCACAAAGAAAGCCAGUGAUCUCAAUAAGGAUAGUAACACUGUAACAUAGACACGUAGUAGCAUACCG